rnacentral:rRNA from 1 species
AUGUUGGGGGGCCCGGACUCUGCUCACAACUAUUCUGUUCGGUGCUAUGAAGAUCUCAAGACCAGUGUGGCUCAUAUCGACAAGGCGAUGGAAAAGCGAAAUGAGAAAGUAGAAAGUAAUGCGAGAUUGAGGCUUAAGACUACCAUCGAUGCCAUGAGGUGGCUGAUAUUCCAAGCUUGUUCUUUUAGAGGUCAUGAUGAAUCUGCGGGUUCUAAGAACCAAGGAAAUUUUCUUGAAAUGGUUAAGAUUCUCGCUUCGUACAAUAAGGAUGUCGCAGGAGUUGUUCUGGAAAAUGCUCCAGGUAAUGCAAAGUAUACAUCCGGAGAAGUUCAGAAAGAGAUUGUUGGCAUACUUGCUCUAGAAGUGCAAAAAGCAAUUAGAGAAGAAAUAGGUAAUGCCAAGUUUUGUAUAAUGGUUGAUGAAGCUCGGGAUGAAUCAAAAAAAGAACAAAUGGCAGUUGUUCUUCGGUUUGCCAACAAAGAAGCAGAAAUAAUUGAGCGUUUCCUUGAUCUAGUUCAUGUUAAUGACACUGCUGCCUUAACUUUGAAAAAUGCAAUCUGUACUGUACUGUCAGAUAAUAACUUGAAUGUACAAGACAUCAGGGGCCAAGCAUAUGAUGGUGCAAGUAAUAUGAGAGGGGAGUGGAAUGGAUUGAAGGCUCUUAUUCUCCGUGAGUGUCCGUAUGCCUACUAUAUUCAUUGUAUGGCUCAUCAAUUACAAUUGGCGCUUGUUGCUGCAUCACGAGAGGUACAUGAGGUACAUAACUUCUUCCAGAAUGCAAAUUUUGUAAUAAAUGUUGUUAGUGCUUCUACAAAGCGGAGCGAUGAGCUACUAGCGAACCAAGCGGAGGAAAUUGCUCAUGAAAUUGAGUUGGGAGAGCUUGAUACAGGCAAAGGGCAAAACCAAAUAGGAACCUUACAGAGACCAGGAGACACAAGAUGA